AGAACAAAAAAGGGGAGACGAGAAGAGGAGCAGAGGAGGGAGAAAGAUCAACAACAAAAUAAAAAUAAAAAACUUUUACAACUUACGAAUCAAUUAAAUCGACCAAAAAUAAGAUGUUGACCGCACCAAAUGAUGUUCAUGCGAGAAAGAUGCUGUACGGACGUUGGAAUUCGCUUAGGGAAUUUUCAUGGCUGUGUCCAUUUUUGCUUGGAACAGGACUCGAUUUUCUCAGAACGCACAGAGUCGAAACAACUACAAAGAUUACGACAAUAAAAAUGUAUGGAAACGACGGAAGAAUUGACUUGUGAAACAGUAACUUCUGUGAUUGAAUAGUCAUCAACCUCAGGAAUCGUGCCAUUAACAAAACAUCAAGACAAAAGCCUUCAAGAUUUCUCUGCUUAUAAUGCUGACAGAUGUCGUACGGCUGUUUGUAUCGCUGGCCUCAUCUCCUCUGAUGAUGAUGUUCAUGUUGACACGAGCCAGCUAUGGAAUUGAGA
rnacentral:lncRNA from 1 species